AGUUACUUUACUACUCCACAUGCCAACCGGUGAGAUUGCACCGCUACACCAUAAAAAACAAAAGUGUACGUAUAUAUUUGAGUUAAAUAUAUAAAACACUCAGCUCAUCAAAGCACUUGGAUCGACAGUUUGAAAGACAGGCAACAGGUCUCGACAUCAAUUGAAUUCUUUGUUAGGCAUCUCUACUCUCCAAAGGACUCAUCCUGAACAGCUGAUCGAGAUUUCUAAUUAUAAAAAAGUUGUUAAAUUUUAUAAAAUUCAGCGGAUGUGAUUCAAGAUUUACAUUACUUGUAUGAAACUACAGAAA